rnacentral:rRNA from 1 species
GAUGAACGCUAGCGGCAGGCCUAAUACAUGCAAGUCGAACGGUGUCUUCGGACAUAGUGGCGCACGGGUGCGUAACACGUAUGCAACCUACCUUACAUUGGGGGAUAGCCUUUCGAAAGGGAGAUUAAUACCGCAUAAGACAGUAGCUGGGCAUCCAGCAGCUGUUAAAGAUUUAUCGAUGUAAGCUGGGCAUGCGUCCAAUUAGCUAGUUGGUGAGGUAACGGCUCACCAAGGCAAUGAUGGGUAGGGGAACUGAGAGGUCAAUCCCCCACACUGGCACUGGGAUACGGGCCAGACUCCUACGGGAGGCAGCAGUAGGGAAUAUUGGGCAAUGGACGCAAGUCUGACCCAGCCAUGCCGCGUGCAGGAUGAAGGCGUUAUGCGUUGUAAACUGCUUUUAUACAGGAAGAAACGACUCUUGCGAGAGGCAUUGACGGUACUGUAUGAAUAAGCACCGGCUAACUCCGUGCCAGCCGCCGCCGUAAUAC